GGGGACGAGUGGGUUCGACAGGGAAGGUCGAGCCCGGACAGCAGGCCGAGGUCGCCACCGACCUCGUUAAACAGGUGGCGAAAAAGUAACUGGCGAGCGCGAACUCGCUCUGGCCGCCUAGUCUGUAGGCGGCCACGUCGCCCUGGCCUCUCCCCUGCGGGCUGGGAGCGGCGCCAGAGAGCAGGGGUGCAGCCCUCCCGACGCCGAUAGGGAGAGCCCAAGAGACAUCGGCUGGCCCGUCGGUACGCUGCUGGCGGCGGUACGGCGGGCGAGAUGCAAGCGCCAGCUAAGCCUGUAGUCGGUCCGGGGAGGUCUUCGCCUGGACGAGGGGUUCGACUCCCCUCCGUCUCCACCA
rnacentral:tmRNA from 1 species